GUAACGCGUAUCCAACCUUCCCAUUACUGUGGGAUAACCUGCCGAAAGGCAGACUAAUACCGCAUAGUCUUCGUUGACGGCAUCAGAUAUGAAGUAAAGAUUUAUCGGUAAUGGAUGGGGAUGCGUCUGAUUAGCUUGUUGGCGGGGUAACGGCCCACCAAGGCGACGAUCAGUAGGGGUUCUGAGAGGAAGGUCCCCCACAUUGGAACUGAG
rnacentral:rRNA from 1 species